rnacentral:rRNA from 2 species
AGAGUUUGAUCAUGGCUCAGAUUGAACGCUGGCGGCAUGCCUUACACAUGCAAGUCGAACGGCAGCAUGAUCUAGCUUGCUAGAUUGAUGGCGAGUGGCGAACGGGUGAGUAAUACAUCGGAACGUGCCCUGUAGUGGGGGAUAACUAGUCGAAAGAUUAGCUAAUACCGCAUACGACCUGAGGGUGAAAGUGGGGGACCGCAAGGCCUCAUGCUAUAGGAGCGGCCGAUGUCUGAUUAGCUAGUUGGUGGGGUAAAGGCCCACCAAGGCGACGAUCAGUAGCUGGUCUGAGAGGACGAUCAGCCACACUGGGACUGAGACACGGCCCAGACUCCUACGGGAGGCAGCAGUGGGGAAUUUUGGACAAUGGGGGCAACCCUGAUCCAGCAAUGCCGCGUGUGUGAAGAAGGCCUUCGGGUUGUAAAGCACUUUUGUCCGGAAAGAAAUCGCACUUACUAAUAUUAGGUGUGGAUGACGGUACCGGAAGAAUAAGGACCGGCUAACUACGUGCCAGCAGCCGCGGUAAUACGUAGGGUCCAAGCGUUAAUCGGAAUUACUGGGCGUAAAGCGUGCGCAGGCGGUUGUGCAAGACCGAUGUGAAAUCCCCGGGCUUAACCUGGGAAUUGCAUUGGUGACUGCACGGCUAGAGUGUGUCAGAGGGGGGUAGAAUUCCACGUGUAGCAGUGAAAUGCGUAGAGAUGUGGAGGAAUACCGAUGGCGAAGGCAGCCCCCUGGGAUAACACUGACGCUCAUGCACGAAAGCGUGGGGAGCAAACAGGAUUAGAUACCCUGGUAGUCCACGCCCUAAACGAUGUCAACUAGUUGUUGGGGAUUCAUUUCCUUAGUAACGUAGCUAACGCGUGAAGUUGACCGCCUGGGGAGUACGGUCGCAAGAUUAAAACUCAAAGGAAUUGACGGGGACCCGCACAAGCGGUGGAUGAUGUGGAUUAAUUCGAUGCAACGCGAAAAACCUUACCUACCCUUGACAUGCCACUAACGAAGCAGAGAUGCAUUAGGUGCUCGAAAGAGAAAGUGGACACAGGUGCUGCAUGGCUGUCGUCAGCUCGUGUCGUGAGAUGUUGGGUUAAGUCCCGCAACGAGCGCAACCCUUGUCUCUAGUUGCUACGAAAGGGCACUCUAGAGAGACUGCCGGUGACAAACCGGAGGAAGGUGGGGAUGACGUCAAGUCCUCAUGGCCCUUAUGGGUAGGGCUUCACACGUCAUACAAUGGUGCAUACAGAGGGUUGCCAAGCCGCGAGGUGGAGCUAAUCCCAGAGAAUGCAUCGUAGUCCGGAUCGUAGUCUGCAACUCGACUACGUGAAGCUGGAAUCGCUAGUAAUCGCGGAUCAGCAUGCCGCGGUGAA